GUCAACCUAAAAAAUAAUGUAUAAAUGACCGAUAGGAGCUGCCCAAUUUAUUACCUCUAAUAGCGUCAUAACCUCACCUUCUCAAACCUCAUGUGGAGUCUAUUAGAGACUACAAUCAAAGAAAAAUUACAUCACGAGAAUCAAAUCAUAAUCCCUUGUAUCAUGACCCCUAGCUUGAACUCCUCCCUAGAAUCAAGCCCUCUACAUGUAUAUAUAUAUUACAUCAAACAUCAAUACAAAUCAAUACAAUUCAUCUCAACUAUUUCUAAUAUGGUAUCAAAAGCCCAAAGCAUAAGCUCUUUUUUUUCCAAACCGUUCCCCCAAGCCUUCUGUAUUUCUUCUCAUAUCUUUCCCACCAAAUUACUAUACACUAUGGCUCCAGAUGCACCUUCAACCAUAGCCACCAGCAACACCUCUGCAUCAAAUAUAGACACCAACCUGGUCACGAUCAAUCCGAUUGCCAAUCUGCCACUCAAACUUACUUCCGUCAAUUUUCCAUCCUAAGGAUCGCAAGUAGAAACCCUUCUCAUGGGCCUUGAUCUUAUUGGAUUCCUCGAUGGCACGUCACCUGAUCCUGCUCGUAUGGUCACACGGGAGGGUGUAAAAGCCCCAAAUCCCACCUAUCUCCACUGGUUUCGCCAAGAUAAGUUGCUUUUGCAUGUCAUUCGUUGUUCUGUUUCUGAGAAUAUCUAUCUAUAUGUCACUGCUGCUGACUCCACUCAUGAAGCAUGGAAAACUCUGGAAAAAUUAUAUGCCAGCAACUCCAGAACGAGGGUUAUGAAUCUCAAAGACAAGUUAACUCGACAAAAACAGGAAGAUCAAGAUGUGGGUACUUACCUACACGUCAUGAAGAGCAUUACCGCUAAACUUACCUUGGUUCAAGCUCCAGUUGCAGAUGAUGAUCUGGUUUUUCAUUGUCUACGCGGCCUUGCUCCAGAAUACCGAUAACUCUCUGCCGCACUCAGAGCUCAAGGAACUCCCAUCACCUUUGAAGAACUACUCGAUUUGCUUGUUGAAUACGAAGCUGAGCUCAAAUAUCACAAAACUCUGGAGUCUACAACUGUGACCACGGCUUAUUACACCCAGCAUCGCGGACAAUCUUUCACUGGAUGCGACACCAAUCACGGGAGAAGAGGCGGCAGCCAAUUCAUGGGGAACAGGACAAACAACCCUAAUUUCUAUUACAAUCAGCGGGCUCCCCAUUAUAAUUUAGGCUCACUGAAUUAUUUGUCUUAUAGUCUAACACAUGGUGGUCAUUCAUUUGGGCCUCAUUUCAGCUCACAGGCCCGCCCACGGCUUAUAUGUCAAAUCUGUGAGAAGAUAGGUCAUUCGGCCCGAACAUGUCAUAAGUUAUUUCCUCCGGCCCAUCAGCACCAAGCUCAAGUUAAUUAUAUUGCUCAGCCCAACACUUCUGCUCAAUCGGCCCAACAAGACCAUCGGGCCUGUUAAUGGACGCAACUGCUUCUCACUAUGUUACUUCGAAUUUGGAGAAUUUAUCGAUCUAUUUAGAUUAUAACGGGCCCAAUGAGAUUAUGAUUGGUGACUGAACAGGUUUACGCAUUACUCACAUUGGCGGUUCUUCCAUCCCUACAAAUCAUACCUCAUUACAAUUGAAUAAUGUUUUAUAUGCCCCUGCUAUUAAAAAGAAGCUUAUAUAUGUUGUAAAAUUAUGCCAAACUAACCCGGUGUCGAUUGAAUCUUUUUGCCAAUUAUUUUGUUGUGAAGGAUCUCAGAACGGGGGCGCCGCUACUGAUGGGAAUCUAUGAGCUUCUAAAAAUUGUUAGGACGGUUCGGUUGGCAAUGGUUACAACUCGCACUUCAAAUCACUCUGGGUAUUCUCGACUUUGUCAUCCAACGACCAAAUCUCUAUCUAGUUUAAUUCGUG
rnacentral:lncRNA from 1 species